CAGCAGCCACGGUAAUACGUAGGUGGCAAGCGUUGUCCGGAGUUAUUGGGCGUAAAGGGCUCGCAGGCGGUUUCUUAAGUCUGAUGUGAAAGCCCCCGGCUCAACCGGGGAGGGUCAUUGGAAACUGGGAGAUUUGAGUGCAGAAGAGGAGAGUGGAAUUCCACGUGUAGCGGUGAAAUGCGUAGAGAUGUGGAGGAACACCAGUGGCGAAGGCGACUCUCUGGUCUGUAACUGACGCUGAGGAGCGAAAGCGUGGGGAGCGAACAGGAUUAGAUACCCCGGUAGUCCCUGUCUCUUAUAC
rnacentral:rRNA from 1 species